rnacentral:rRNA from 1 species
GCAUAUCAAUAAGCGGAGGAAAAGAAACUAACAAGGAUUCCCCUAGUAACGGCGAGUGAAGCGGGAAGAGCACAAAAUUUAAAUCUACCUGGUUUUCAGGUCGAGUUGUAAUUUGAAGAAACGUUUUUUACGUUCCGGGUUGGAUUAAAUCCUUUGGGAUAAGGUAUCAUGGAGGGUGAGAAUCCCGUGUAUACCAACCACUGGAAUGUUAUUAAUACGAUUUCUAAGAGUCGAGUUGUUUGGGAAUGCAGCUCUAAAUGGGUGGUAAAUUUCACCUAAUGCUAAAUAUAAGCGAGAGACCGAUAGUGAACAAGUACCGUGAGGGAAAGAUGAAAAGAACUUUGAAAAGAGAGUUAAAUAGUACGUGAAAUUGUUGAAAGGGAAACGGUUGAAGUCAGUCAUACCGGUGGGAAUCAACUUAGGGGAAACUCUAAGUGCACUUCUUCGCUUGGUAGGUUAGCGUCGAUUUUGGAUGUCAUAAAAUGACUGGGGGAAGGUAGCUCCUUUUAGGAGUGUUAAGCCCUUAGUAGAUGUGAUGUCUGAGAUCGAGGAUUGCAACGGAUACCUUUUAGGUUAACCGCCUGGUCUCUAAUACGAACUUAGGUUACGGACAGCAUGCUGACUGUGAUCUAAUCUUCGGUUAAAAGAUUAGAGUGAGUGUAAAUUCGUUAAGGACGCUGACGUAAUGGCUUUAAACGACCCGUCUUGAAACACGGACCA